GCCGCGCCUAUCUCGACGGGGAGAAAACCGGGACACCUUCACCCGGCUGGCGCGGCACCCCCAAACGAAGG
rnacentral:sRNA from 1 species